rnacentral:rRNA from 1 species
CCCAAUGUGAACCAUACCAAACUGUUGCCUCGGCGGGGUCACGCCCCGGGUGCGUCGCAGCCCCGGAACCAGGCGCCCGCCGGAGGGACCAACCAAACUCUUUUCUGUAGUCCCCUCGCGGACGUUAUUUCUUACAGCUCUGAGCAAAAAUUCAAAAUGAAUCAAAACUUUCAACAACGGAUCUCUUGGUUCUGGCAUCGAUGAAGAACGCAGCGAAAUGCGAUAAGUAAUGUGAAUUGCAGAAUUCAGUGAAUCAUCGAAUCUUUGAACGCACAUUGCGCCCGCCAGUAUUCUGGCGGGCAUGCCUGUCCGAGCGUCAUUUCAACCCUCGAACCCCUCCGGGGGGUCGGCGUUGGGGACCUCGGGAGCCCCUAAGACGGGAUCCCGGCCCCGAAAUACAGUGGCGGUCUCGCCGCAGCCUCUCCUGCGCAGUAGUUUGCACAACUCGCACCGGGAGCGCGGCGCGUCCACGUCCGUAAAACACCCAACUUCUGAAAUGUUGACCUCGGAUCAGGUAGGAAUACCCGCUGAACUUAAGCAUAUCAAUAAGCGGAGGAA